CUAGACCUCAGCAGCGUGAGCUCAUUCUAUGAGAGUGCAAGCUACGUCAAUAGCAUUCUUAAGUGACAUCUCAAUACUGGAUAUUUGCAGGACUGCCACAUGGUU